rnacentral:tRNA from 1 species
UGGCUCAGACAGUAAAGCGUCUGCCUGCAAUGCGGGAGACCUAGGUUCGAAUCCUGG